GGGCACCACCAGGAGUGGAGCCUGCGGCUUAAUCUGACUCAACACGGGAAAACUCACCCGGCCCGGACAUUAGGAGGAUUGACAGACUGACUAGCUCUUUCUUGAUUCAGUGGGUGGUGGUGCAUGGCCGUUCUUAGUUGGUGGAGCGAUUUGUCUGGUUAAUUCCGAUAACGAACGAGACUCUAGCCUACUAGUUAGCCGGCCCGGUCGUUAUGCGCCCGGGCAGCGAGCUUCUUAGAGGGACAGACGGCGAGUAAGCCGUACGAGAUAGAGCAAUAACAGGUCUGUGAUGCCCUUAGAUGUCCGGGGCCGCACGCGCGCUACACUGAAGGAAGCAGCGUGUAACAACCUUAUUCUAACGAACUGGGUAACCCGUGGAACUUCCUUCAUGAUUGGGAUAGGGGUUUGCAAUUGUGCCCCUUGAACGAGGAAUUCCCAGUAAACACUAGUCAUCAGCUAGUGCUGAUUACGUCCCUGCCCUUUGUACACACCGCCCGUCGCUACUACCGAUUGAAUGGU
rnacentral:rRNA from 1 species